rnacentral:rRNA from 1 species
GGGCCCGCACAAGCGGUGGAGCAUGUGGUUUAAUUCGAUGCAACGCGAAGAACCUUACCUACUCUUGACAUCCUCGGAAUCCUCUAGAGAUAGAGGAGUGCCUUCGGGAAUCGAGUGACAGGUGCUGCAUGGCUGUCGUCAGCUCGUGUCGUGAGAUGUUGGGUUAAGUCCCGUAACGAGCGCAACCCUUGCCCUUAGUUGCCAGCAGUUCGGCUGGGUACUUUAAGGGACUGCCGUGAUAAACCGGAGGAAGGUGGGACGACGUCAAAGUCAUCAUGGCCCCUUACGAGUAGGGCUACACACGUGCUACAAUGGGCAGUACAGAGGGUUGCCAAGCCUGAGGCGGAGCU